GCUCAGGAUGAACGCUGGCGGCGUGCCUAAUACAUGCAAGUAGAACGCUGAAGACUUUAGCUUGCUAAAGUUGGAAGAGUUGCGAACGGGUGAGUAACGCGUAGGUAACCUGCCUACUAGCGGGGGAUAACUAUUGGAAACGAUAGCUAAUACCGCAUAACAGCAUUUAACCCAUGUUAGAUGCUUGAAAGGAGCAAUUGCUUCACUAGUAGAUGGACCUGCGUUGUAUUAGCUAGUUGGUGAGGUAACGGCUCACCAAGGCGACGAUACAUAGCCGACCUGAGAGGGUGAUCGGCCACACUGGGACUGAGACACGGCCCAGACUCCUACGGGAGGCAGCAGUA
rnacentral:rRNA from 1 species